UAAACACGAAUACCCGUUUCGUUGUCACAUGUUAAAAAGGAAGAAAGAGAGAGAGAUUUGAAGCAUCGACUGCAAGAGGAGAGGUAACAAUGGACGAAGCAGAGUUUCGACAACUCCUCCAUAUGUUCCCUGUUGUUCGAUCACGCACUUACUGUGCUGAUACUGAUGCAUCAAGACAAAUAUCUUCACAGACAGAGAAGGACGAAAUAAUGGAAUGGCAAGAUGCAUGGGCUGAAUUAGACAUGAAAGGAAACAAAGUUCAAGCAAUCGACUUAGAAGUUAUAAUAAAUUCUUGUAGAACUACAACUGCACUACAAGCCGGAGGCACUUCAACCAAUAAAAACUGCCCCUUGAGAGAGGUGAAGAGAGACGAGGAAACUUUUCUGGAGAUGGCUGCACAACUCUAUACAAGAAGACACAAACCUUGGCUAGAAAGGACCUCCCUUGUAACUCUCUCUAUUAUGCAAUCCCUUUUGGGAGAAAUUGAGGUUGGCUGCUGAGAAAAAGAUGAAUGCAGCAGAUGCGGAGAAAUUCUGCAAGGCUUUCCAAAGUGUUUAUAAGAGACUCGUUUAUGAAGCAAUGACACCUGAUUGCAUCAGUAGAAUUGCGAGUAUGAGAGUAAGCCCAACAAACUAAACAAAGCCACCACCUUUCUUAUGGUUCAUUUUGCCUUAAGCUUUCUGUCUGUACUUUUAAAUUUUGGCUUCUCCUCGGGCUUCUAAACAGUGUUUUGAGUAGAUGAUUCAGAUGUACUUUAAAGUAAUCAGAACAUUUGGGUGAUGUAUUUUAUGUCAGCCCUCUGUUGCACAUUUUGAUAUCAGAAUUUGUGUUGCAAUCUUCAAGUUGCUUGACUUGGUUUUUGA